CUGCGACGAGACGUUCAGCACGCCGACCAACCUUAGGGCGCACAAGGUCUCUCACACCAGCGACAAGAGCUUCCGCUGCCGCUUCUGCCGGCGCGACUUCUCCACCAACAUUGCACUCCACUACCACUGGAAUGAGGAGCACCCGCUGAAGCUGCAGCCGUGUCCGUAUUGCGACAAACGCUUCAUUAACAAGUCCAACCUCAAUCAACACAUCAACACCCAUCAGGAGCCUCGUUUCACGUGCGAUCAAUGCGGCCGGCAGUUCCACACGCGCGGCGACCUGCGGAAGCACAUCGUCUUCCGGCAUAGCGACGCCAAGAACUUCCAGUGUCCGGACUGUGACCUCAGCUUCAAGGUCAACUGGCUGCUGACGCGACAUCGAGUGCGAGUGCACUCGACGUGAGCGGCCGAAGAUGGCGCAGCCGUGCCCGUGGGCACCAUACUCAUUCCUGCCGCGCGUGUGCCGUGUCUGCGUCGGUGGAUGCCUGCAAAUGUGUGAGUUUGUUUUUAGCGUGUCAACGGAUAUGUGAUUUGGUUUGUCAGCAGGGAUGUCUUGUCACUGGCUCGUGACGGGAUCGACGAGGCACGUCUUGUGGUGUUUGUCGAUGCUCGCGCUCCGUCGGCCAGUGCGUCAUGUGUAUGACGUCAUUACGGCAUUUUGAUGACGUCAUUAUAUCAGUUGUAUGACGUCAUUACGGCACGUGAAUGACAUGUCAUUCGGAUGACGUCAGUAUGACAUUUGAAUGACGUCAUUACGACAUUUGGAUGAAGUCAUUACGCCUUUUGGAUGAAGUCAUUACGGCAUUUGGAUGACGUCAUUGCGCCAUUUGAAUGCCAUUACUGCAUUUGGAUGUGCACUCAGGGCGUUUUGAGUGUGCUUGGUGCGAACACUCGCUCACGACCUCUCCGCACCUGUUGGCGUGCCCCUGUUUCACUGCCGUGGUUUGGCGGCGAUCGAGAGUUAGGUCUGGCGCCGUGUCCGAACUCGGCAUGACUGGCGUGCUGUCCGCGCGACCGAUGGCGCAUGCGCGGGCCAAUGCUGGUUCGUGCCGUGAGAGAAGCAGGAAAUUCUGCACGCGACCGGGUUAGCGCGGUGUACGUGUACAAUCGGGGGGGCCGCGGGUCUGUGUCAUCUGCCGUGGUCUUCGCAGCAGCGCUCCGCCACUGUGAAGGCGUUGGUGACAACCGCGCAAUUUUUGUCUCCGGAAGCCUCGCUUCGGUUCGUGACGCGAUCCUCGCGAUCCCGAGUGCGUCGGUGUUCGAGGUUCGAGAUGAUCGAGCCCAACUGUCACCUCGCCUGGUCUCGUGGCCCGGUGCGCAUCUUGUUAAUGCCAUUUGUAUCGAACACGCUCGCCCAUUAGGGUCCGUUUGUGACCAUCCAAGUCCAUCAGAGCCCGUUUGUGAAUACAGUUUUGA